AGAGUUUGAUCCUGGCUCAGGACGAACGCUGGCGGCACGCUUAACACAUGCAAGUCGAACGAGAGAAGAGGAGCUUGCUUUUCUGAUCUAGUGGCGGACGGGUGAGUAACACGUGAGCAAUCUGCCUUUCAGAGGGGGAUACCGAUUGGAAACGAUCGUUAAUACCGCAUAACAUAAUUGAACCGCAUGAUUUGAUUAUCAAAGAUUUAUCGCUGAAAGAUGAGCUCGCGUCUGAUUAGCUAGUUGGUAAGGUAACGGCUUACCAAGGCGACGAUCAGUAGCCGGACUGAGAGGUUGAUCGGCCACAUUGGGACUGAGACACGGCCCAGACUCCUACGGGAGGCAGCAGUGGGGAAUAUUGCACAAUGGAGGAAACUCUGAUGCAGCGAUGCCGCGUGAGGGAAGAAGGUUUUAGGAUUGUAAACCUCUGUCUUCAGGGACGAAAAAAGACGGUACCUGAGGAGGAAGCUCCGGCUAACUACGUGCCAGCAGCCGCGGUAAUACGUAGGGAGCGAGCGUUGUCCGGAAUUACUGGGUGUAAAGGGAGCGUAGGCGGGAUCGCAAGUCAGAUGUGAAAACUAUGGGCUUAACCCAUAAACUGCAUUUGAAACUGUGGUUCUUGAGUGAAGUAGAGGUAAGCGGAAUUCCUAGUGUAGCGGUGAAAUGCGUAGAUAUUAGGAGGAACAUCAGUGGCGAAGGCGGCUUACUGGGCUUUAACUGACGCUGAGGCUCGAAAGCGUGGGGAGCAAACAGGAUUAGAUACUCUGGUAGUCCACGCCGUAAACGAUGAUUACUAGGUGUGGGGGGACUGACCCCUUCCGUGCCGCAGCAAACGCAAUAAGUAAUCCACCUGGGGAGUACGACCGCAAGGUUGAAACUCAAAGGAAUUGACGGGGGCCCGCACAAGCAGUGGAGUAUGUGGAUUAAUUCGAAGCAACGCGAAGAACCUUACCAGGUCUUGACAUCGUAUGCAUAGCUCAGAGAUGAGUGAAAUCUCUUCGGAGACAUAUAGACAGGUGGUGCAUGGUUGUCGUCAGCUCGUGUCGUGAGAUGUUGGGUUAAGUCCCGCAACGAGCGCAACCCUUACUGUUAGUUGCUACGCAAGAGCACUCUAGCAGGACUGCCGUUGACAAAACGGAGGAAGGUGGGGAUGACGUCAAAUCAUCAUGCCCCUUAUGACCUGGGCCUCACACGUACUACAAUGGCUGUCAACAGAGGGAAGCAAAGCCGCGAGGUGGAGCGAACCCCUAAAAGCAGUCUUAGUUCGGAUUGUAGGCUGCAACCCGCCUACAUGAAGUCGGAAUUGCUAGUAAUCGCAGAUCAGCAUGCUGCGGUGAAUACGUUCCCGGGCCUUGUACACACCGCCCGUCACGCCAUGGGAGUCGGUAACACCCGAAGCCUGUAGUCUAACCGCAAGGAGGACGCAGUCGAAGGUGGGAUUGAUGACUGGGGUGAAGUCGUAACAAGGUA
rnacentral:rRNA from 1 species